AACGAACGCUGGCGGCAGGCUUAACACAUGCAAGUCGAACGCCCCGCAAGGGGAGUGGCAGACGGGUGAGUAACGCGUGGGAACAUACCCUUUCCUGCGGAAUAGCUCUGGGAAACUGGAAUUAAUACCGCAUACGCCCUACGGGGGAAAGAUUUAUCGGGGAAGGAUUGGCCCGCGUUGGAUUAGCUAGUUGGUGGGGUAAAGGCCUACCAAGGCGACGAUCCAUAGCUGGUCUGAGAGGAUGAUCAGCGACAUUGGGACUGUGACACGGCCCGACCUCGUACGGGAGGCAGCAGUGGGGAAUAUUGGACAAGGGGCGCAAGCCCGAUCCAGCCAUGCCGCGUGAGUGAUGAAGGCCUUAGGGUUGUAAAGCUCUUUCACCGAUGAAGAUAAUGACGGUAGUCGGAGCAGAAGCCCCGGCUAACUUCGUUCCAGCAGCCGCCGUAAAAC
rnacentral:rRNA from 1 species